rnacentral:rRNA from 1 species
CUACGGGUUGCAGCAGUGGGGAAUAUUGCACAAUGGGCGCAAGCCUGAUGCAGCCAUGCCGCGUGUAUGAAGAAGGCCUUCGGGUUGUAAAGUACUUUCAGCGGGGAGGAAGGGAGUAAAGUUAAUACCUUUGCUCAUUGACGUUACCCGCAGAAGAAGCACCGGCUAACUCCGUGCCAGCAGCCGCGGUAAUACGGAGGGUGCAAGCGUUAAUCGGAAUUACUGGGCGUAAAGCGCACGCAGGCGGGUUGUUAAGUCAGAUGUGAAAUCCCCGGGCUCAACCUGGGAACUGCAUCUGAUACUGGCAAGCUUGAGUGUCGUAGAGGGGGGUAGAAUUCCAGGUGUAGCGGUGAAAUGCGUAGAGAUCUGGAGGAAUACCGGUGGCGAAGGCGGCCCCCUGGACGAAGACUGACGCUCAGGUGCGAAAGCGUGGGGAGCAAACAGGAUUAGAUACCCCCGUAGUC